rnacentral:rRNA from 1 species
UAAACUGUGAGGCGCAGCUUACCAUGCAGUCGACGGUAGCAGGGAGAAAGCUUGCUUUCUUUGCUGACGAGUGGCGGACGGGUGAGUAAUGCUUGGGAAUCUGGCUUAUGGAGGGGGAUAACGACGGGAAACUGUCGCUAAUACCGCGUAGUGUCGAGAGACGAAAGACCGGGACCGCAAGGCCGGUUGCCAUAAGAUGAGCCCAAGUGGGAUUAGGUAGUUGGUGGGGUAAAGGCCUACCAAGCCUGCGAUCUCUAGCUGGUCUGAGAGGAUGGCCAGCCACACUGGAACUGAGACACGGUCCAGACUCCUACGGGAGGCAGCAGUGGGGAAUAUUGCGCAAUGGGGGCAACCCUGACGCAGCCAUGCCGCGUGAAUGAAGAAGGCCUUCGGGUUGUAAAGUUCUUUCGGUGAUGAGGAAGGCGGUUAGUUUAAUAGGCUAAUCGAUUGACGUUAAUCACAGAAGAAGCACCGGCUAACUCCGUGCCAGCAGCCGCGGUAAUACGGAGGGUGCGAGCGUUAAUCGGAAUAACUGGGCGUAAAGGGCACGCAGGCGGUUGCUUAAGUGAGGUGUGAAAUCCCCGGGCUUAACCUGGGAAUUGCAUUUCAGACUGGGCAGCUAGAGUAUUUUAGGGAGGGGUAGAAUUCCACGUGUAGCGGUGAAAUGCGUAGAGAUGUGGAGGAAUACCGAAGGCGAAGGCAGCCCCUUGGGGAAAUACUGACGCUCAUGUGCGAAAGCGUGGGGAGCAAACAGGAUUAGAUACCCUGGUAGUCCACGCUGUAAACGCUGUCGAUUUGGGGAUUGGGCUUUAAGCUUGGUGCCCGUAGCUAACGUGAUAAAUCGACCGCCUGGGGAGUACGGCCGCAAGGUUAAAACUCAAAUGAAUUGACGGGGGCCCGCACAAGCGGUGGAGCAUGUGGUUUAAUUCGAUGCAACGCGAAGAACCUUACCUACUCUUG